rnacentral:sRNA from 1 species
GCCGGGCACAGUGGCGCAUGCCUGGAAUCCCAGCAGCUCAGGAGGCUGAGGCAGGGGGAUCGCAAGUUCAAGGCCAGCCUCAGCAUCUU